AUACGUAGGGGGCGAGCGUUGUCCGGAAUGACUGGGCGUAAAGGGCGUGUAGGCGGCUGUCUAAGUCUGGAGUGAAAGUCCUGCUUUCAAGGUGGGAAUUGCUUUGGAGACUGGAUGGCUUGAGUGCGGAAGAGGUAAGUGGAAUUCCCAGUGUAGCGGUGAAAUGCGUAGAGAUUGGGAGGAACACCAGUGGCGAAGGCGACUUACUGGGCCGUAACUGACGCUGAGGCGCGAAAGCGUGGGGAGCGAACAGGAUUAGAUACCCUGGUAGUCCACGCGGUAAACGUUGAAUGCCAGGUGUUGCGGGUAUCGACCCCAGCAGUGCCGGAGUAAACACAAUAAGCAUUCCGCCUGGGGAGUACGGCCGCAAGGUUGAAACUCAAAUGAAUUGACGGGG
rnacentral:rRNA from 1 species